CAUUACUCCCAUUCCCAAUUCAUCGUAUAUUCUCUCCCCCUCCUUUCUCAAAACAGAAUACGCCAAGAUUUUUCAAGAAUCCCCAAAUCCUCUCUCAUUUCUUUCCCAAGUUAAGCUUAAACAUAUAGACAAAAUGAAUAGGAAAUAAAAGCUCCGUCGCCCUCAAGCUCUCGCCGACCCUUCUCUCUCUCACCACAUCUAAAACGAGAUUUCCAAUUUUCCUGCUGCGGAUCGCCGUCGCACUGCACCAAUCGACCGGUCACUGCCGCUACUUCCUUCGUCGGCCCACUGGGCGGCCUCGGUCCUCCCCGAUUAGCCCCGUUUCCCAAUUAAAGAUUUCAUGAUAUGCACAAGAAUGGAAUAGGAAUGGGGUGGAAGAAGUGUAUACCUUUGUUGCAAAGAGUUGCAGGAAAACAAUUUGGGGACUCUCGGCUCUCUUACUCGAACUAUUUCUUCUCAACUGUGAUUUCAAGAAUUGGUAUCAUGGAAUUAAAAUAUGGAGGUUCGUAUUCAUGGGAUUGUGAAGAAAUUACCUUUGUUGGAUAGACAACCACAUAUCAAACUGGAGUCUCGGUUUCUCUCUAUUUUUUUCAGAUUUUUUUUUAUAGAAUGAAGAAACUGAUUUGUGAAGGGAAUAUUAUAGAGAGGAGGUGGUUGAUAGAUAUGGGAGAGAUUCAUGGAAGAGAGGAGCGGUUUUUCUAACGUGGGCUGAGGAGGUGUGAUUUUCGAAUCAAUCUUUUUUUUGGGAUCAA